AAUGAACGUUGGCGGCGUGGAUUAGGCAUGCAAGUCGAGCGAGAACCCAGCAAUGGGGGACAGCGGCGCAAGGGACAGUAAUGUGUAGAUUAUCUGCCCUCGGGUCCGGGAUAGCUGAGGGAAACUGCAGGUAAUACCGGAUAACAUCUCCGGAUCAAAGGCGUGAUUCCGCGCGAGGAUGAGUCUGCAUCCUAUUAGCUAGUUGGCAGGGUAAUGGCAUACCAAGGCGAUGAUGGGUAGCGGGUGUGAGAGCACGACCCGCGUCAUUGGGACUGAGACACUGCCCAGACACCUACGGGUGGCUGCAGUCGAGAAUCUUCGGCAAUGGGCGCAAGCCUGACCGAGCGACGCCGCGUGUGGGAUGAAGGCCUUCGGGUUGUAAACCACUGUCAGAGGGGAUGAAAUGCAGGUGGGUUCUCCCAUCUGUUUGACAUAGCCUCAGAGGAAGGACGGGCUAAGUUCGUGCCAGCAGCCGCCGUAAUAC
rnacentral:rRNA from 1 species